AUUAAGCACUCCGCCUGGGGAGUACGACCGCAAGGUUGAAACUCAAAGGAAUUGACGGGGGCCCGCACAAGCGGUGGAGCAUGUGGUUUAAUUCGAAGCAACGCGAAGAACCUUACCAGGUCUUGACAUCCUUUGACCACUCUGGAGACAGAGCUUUCCCUUCGGGGACAAAGUGACAGGUGGUGCAUGGUUGUCGUCAGCUCGUGUCGUGAGAUGUUGGGUUAAGUCCCGCAACGAGCGCAACCCUUGAUUUUAGUUGCCAGCAUUUAGUUGGGCACUCUAAAGUGACUGCCGGUGCAAGCCGGAGGAAGGUGGGGAUGACGUCAAAUCAUCAUGCCCCUUAUGACCUGGGCUACACACGUGCUACAAUGGAUAGUACAAAGGGU
rnacentral:rRNA from 1 species